CAGCUAGUUGGUGGGGUAACGGCUCACCAAGGCAACGAUCAGUAUCCGGCCUGAGAGGGCGGACGGACACACUGGGACUGAGACACGGCCCAGACUCCUACGGGAGGCAGCAGUGGGGAAUUGUUCGCAAUGGGCGCAAGCCUGACGACGCAACGCCGCGUGGAGGAUGAAGACCUUCGGGUCGUAAACUCCUUUCGAUCGAGACGAACGGCUUCCGGGUGAACAAUCCGGAAGAGUGACGGUACCGAGAGAAGAAGCCCCGGCUAACUCCGUGCCAGCAGCCGCGGUAAUACGGGGGGGCAAGCGUUGUUCGGAAUUACUGGGCGUAAAGGGCUCGUAGGCGGCCAACUAAGUCAAACGUGAAAUCCCUCGGCUUAACCGGGGAACUGCGCUUGAUACUGGAUGGCUUGAGAUUGGGAGAGGGAUGCGGAAUUCCAGGUGUAGCGGUGAAAUGCGUAGAUAUCUGGAGGAACACCGGUGGCGAAGGCGGCAUCCUGGACCAACACUGACGCUGAGGAG
rnacentral:rRNA from 1 species